GAGCUGCUGUUUCUUCAUCUACAAAAUGGAGAGGAUAGCUUAUCCCUGCCCAACAAGGAAUGGAGUCUAAGACCGAAAGAGAAAAGCUAAAAUGAGGUGGGUUGUGAUUUUCCCAGAGAGAGAAUCUUGGUAAAGGCAAAAGCCAUAAAGACAUCAUAGAGAAAAGAAUCUUGUUGAAUGCUUAGCCUUCAAGACUGACCCUGGAUCCGUGUCAGCUUAGCCCUCUGGUUCUGGGUAACUGAUUUCAGACUUGACAACCAUCAACACAAACAUUUCCAUAUGCAACAAACAAACAGAAUAGAAGGAUUUUCUUUGGAAUCAUGAAUCUAUAUUACAUACAGAUUGUUACUUUUUAAAAGUAGAUAUUAGAUUUAACAUGGUAAUAUUAAUGUUGCCCUCCUUAUCUGUGUCCCCCUUUGGAAAUUUCUUUUGUUGUCUUACGUGUAUUUUUAAAAUGUUUCAUGAAGUCUCUUCCUCUCUUCCCCUCCCUUCUCCUCCCUUCUCCCCU